UACGCAGGGGGCUAGCGUUGCUCGGAAUUACUGGGCGUAAAGCGCACGUAGGCGGCUUUCUAAGUCGGGGGUGAAAUCCUGGAGCUCAACUCCAGAACUGCCUUCGAUACUGGAAAGCUCGAGUCCGGGAGAGGUGAGUGGAACUGCGAGUGUAGAGGUGAAAUUCGUAGAUAUUCGCAAGAACACCAGUGGCGAAGGCGGCUCACUGGCCCGGUACUGACGCUGAGGCUCGAAAGCGUGGGGAGCAAACAGG
rnacentral:rRNA from 1 species